rnacentral:misc_RNA from 1 species
GAAUAAAACUUGAUAGGUUGUAGCUGGCUCUUUCGAGGGCAUGUGCACGCUUGUCAUCUUUGUUUCUCCACCUGUGCACCUUUUGUAGAUCUGGAUAACUAUCCGAGGUCACUCGGUUCUGGGACUGCCGCGCCUUUGGUGGUCGGCUUUUCUUACAUUUCUAGAUCUAUGUCUUUUAUACACUCCAUAGUAUGUAACAGAAUGUAUCAAUGGGCCUUGUGCCUAUAAACCUUAUACAACUUUCAGCAACGGAUCUCUUGGCUCU